GCCGGUGUGAUGGAACAGGUAGACAUGAGUGACUCAAAAUCACUUGCCUUCGGGCGUGGCGGUUCGAAUCCGCCCACCGGUACCA
rnacentral:tRNA from 1 species